UAUAUUUCUCUAUGUGCUGUGUGCUGUCUUGGCUAUAAGUGUGAACGUUGCAGCCGUGAUUAUUUACGCCCUUAAGACGAACAAGUGUGAUUAUUGCAGUAAUGAAGCUGCUGUUUCUCUGCUUGAAAAUGCUGCAAAAAGGAAUUUAAAGAGAAAUGAAGACAGAUGGAUUUAUUCUACUGUCGUCUUUACCGUGAUGAAAACUGGCAGUGAUGGAACGAGGGACGCAAAAGCAGCGGAG